GUGUGUAUCAAAUGUCGCAAUGUAACUGGGUGACUAUAAAGGUGCUCUACAGGUAUAUCUGAAGGUGUCUGUGGGGUUGGCAUGGAUCAAGACUAGGAUUUGUCACUCCAUGUAACGGAGAGGUAUCUCGGGGCCCACUCGAUAAUACAACAUCACAACAAGCCUUGCAAGCAAUGUGACUAAGGAGUUAGUCACGUGAUAUUGUAUUACAGAACAAGGAAAAAUACUUGCAUGUAAAGAGAUUGAACAAGCUAUGGAGAUACCUAC
rnacentral:lncRNA from 1 species